CCCACUUAUAAAUGAAUGCAUGCAUUAUAGUAUAUGUAAACAUACAUAAAAUAAAAAUAAAAAUUUAAUUUAUAUUUUAUUAAGUUAAAUUUAAUUAACUUACCAUCUUUUUGCUUUGGAGGUAGCAUUUACUUUUUGCUAUAGAAAGGAAACGGUGAUACAUUUGCUUUCAAGAAGUUGACGGUGCAUUUUGGGAGGUGGGCUGCCAGCCGCCACAUUUUUUUUUCAUUGGAUGUUAGCACUUUUUCUUUUAGAAUGAAGGUGAUUAGAUAGAAGAGCAUCAGGUACAGCUUGGUCUCGGCAUAUUGAAAGUGCAGCACGGGUUUUGUUUAUAUUAAAGCCUUCUAACAUUUCAAUUUAAUUUCAAUGGUUCAAUUGGUUUUUCUUUUAUGCUCACAUUCAUGGUUUUUUUUAGUUGAUUUUUACUUGCUUUUAGCUUCACGCAUCUUUAGCAUUUCUUUCUUUUCUUUUUCUUUUUUUUUUAUUAUUUUAAGUUGCAAUGUCCAUUUAAAUUCUAUAAGUUAGCAAUUUCAUUUCUAGUUUUGUUGCACUAAAUUGGUUCACAUGUUUUCUUUGGCAUUUCAAUUUUAUUUUCUCUGCAAUGAUGCAUCUUCUAAUUAAUUAAUUUCCUUUUAAUUGUGUCACAUAAGUUUUUCUUAAUUUAUUUGUGAUGUUAUGUUAGGUUAGUCGGGUUGGUCAUUAAUGAUAUUACAUUGCUUCCUUGAGAUUUCUUGGACUGUCUUUAUGUUUAUUCUGCUUUGUCUGACCCUCUGUGAAAUCUGUUGUCUGCCUGCGAAUAGGUAUACGCUUAGUUGUCGAAUCGGUGUCAAUUUUUCGCUUAGUUAAUUAAACUGUAUGGUGAAUGACUGAUUAAAUUUGUGCAUUGCAUUCGCUUAGUCUGUAAUUUUGAAGACCGAAUUAGCCUUCGCUUAGUUGGGUGAUUCGUGUCGGAUUUGGAUUAGAGUAGUGAGUACUUGUCGUUAAUAUGUGAUUGGAAGCAUAGUGAUUGAGUUAAUAACCAACCAUUUUUAUUCUGCAUUUGAUUCCAUUUUGCAUUUCUGUUGCAUCUGUGUUUUAAUUUAGUUAUCCGCAUUCACAAACCAUUCACAAACCCCCCACUACGUGUUAGACCUAAUUCCUGAACUGCGAUUUGGUCCUUGAGAGACGACCUAGGAGUCAUUCCCUAGCUAUACUGCAUUUCUCAUAUGCAAUCAAAUUUGUAUGGGCCGCGACACCUAUCAGUGGUCUAUUAGGGGAGGUUGUUUCUUUGUUUAUGUUUCAGUUUUUAGGUAGUUUGUUGUGUCUUGUGUACAAUUUUGCAUGCUUUUCGUGAAUUCUGGACUGUGAUUAGGUUGCUAGUUUCCCUUCACUGCAUUGAUACUCUAUUUUGUUGGACUCCUUGCUCUUCUUUGCUUGGAAGAUAAUCAUGAUGUUUGAGAGUUGAAUUGAUUGUGACCGAUUACCUGUGUGAGAUUUGAGCCAUUUGGUGAUCUUUCUUGUGUGUGAUAUGUCUCUGGACUGCUUGCACAUUUGCCUUGGCUUGACUAUGUUGAUAAUUCUUGAUUCAUGCACAUUUUGUUGAUUGAGCCUCUCUAGCCAGAUAGCCUACCCUAUUAUGAUCUCUUUGUUAGCCCCUUUGAGCCUAUACUUCCCCCAUUUCUUUGUUUUGAAGCUCAUACAAUAGCCUAAGUGAAAAAACCAUGAUCACCUGAACCUUAGGAAUUUUGGAGCUUUGGAAUUGUUUUGGGAAUAAGUGUGGUCUCUUAGGAGUUGCAAAUGAAUUGGGUAGUGAGUCCUCUUCUUGCAAUUGCACUGUAAAUAUCAUGUAUCUUUUCUUUUGAAUUGUGUGUUGAAUAAAAAAAAAAGAGACAAAAUGAAAAAAAAAGAGAAAAUACAGAAAAUUUUUGUGAAUAAUGGAGUCAAGAAGAGGAUGGAAUUAGAGGUUGUGGGUGUGUUUGAAUAUGUUUACACUUGUUCCCCAUUGCUCCUCUGUUCCUUAUGGUUUGUAGCUUCUUAUCCAGAUGUAUCCUCCCUUGUCCUUGGCCCCAUUACAACCAUGAAAAGACCUUUUGAUUUGAACAUGCAUAUGUAUUUGAGUGUUGAUAUUAGAGGCUUACCAAGUCUAUUUGUUAGUGUAUUUUAGUUGCAGGGAAAUUUUGGGAAACAUCAUUUAGAGCAUUAGGGAUGGUGGCGUGAUCAUUCAAGACUCAACAUUUAGUCACUUCCAUUUUAAUUAAGUUGUAAUUUCGUUUUCUAGAAGCCCUUAAUUGGAAUUAGGUGUUUUGGACCCCUUUAGGAGCAUUUUUGUAAAAACCAAUUGUGGGGACCAUGUGGCAUCCCUUUAGGGCUGACUUGUAGUGUGUGGACCCCACCAAAAUUAAAACUCUCUGUCAUAUGGGGUGGGAAAACCGAGCCACACACUAUCACUUCCAUAUUCAUGAUUUUGGUUUCAUUCUCCUAGGGUUUCUUUUGUUUGAACAUGCUCUCAUGGGUGCUUUCUUGGUGCCACAGUUUGGACCAUUUUCAAUGAAUGUUAUGUAGAUUUUUUUCUUCCCUUGACUCACUCUUGGCUGUCUUAACUCAUUGGUGGUGAAAAUCCAUUCAUUCCUUCUUCCAUUUGCUUGUUUUUUAUGUUUGAAGCUUGAACUUUUAAGCAUUUCUUUGCAUUUCCAUGGUGAUUGUUGGGUUUGAGUGACUUUAGAUUUUCGUUUUUCCUCUCCUUUACUGCUGUUACUCACGUUUUUCUUUGCAUUUUGGUUGGUUGGUUGAUGAAAAUGAGGUUCUAUGUGAGUUUUGGGUUAAAGAGAGCUUAAGGUGUUGUGUGGGUGUUGUGGGUUUGGCUCUUUCCUUCCAUAUUUCGGUUUUGAUGUUUGAAAAUAGUUUGGAACCAGAGUUUGAUGAUGUUAUUGGGGCUGGACAUUGCUUGAGUUGAAUGGUAUAAUGUUAUUUUUGUUUUUGCACAAGAGCUUGAAGAAAUGGAAGAUUGGGUUGAGUUGAAGUAGUAGUAGUGUGGGUUUAUUGUCUUGAAUGGAGUUGAACUUUGAAAUGGGGCGUCUUGGGUGUGUGUUUUCGGUGUGAGGAAGAAGAAAGAGCUGGAGGAGUGUGUUUGAGAGUGAAAUU
rnacentral:lncRNA from 1 species